rnacentral:RNase_P_RNA from 1 species
CGGAGUGCCACAGGCGACCGCGGGCCGCGUUCGCGCGGCCUGAGGAAAGUCCGAGCUCCACAGGGCAAGGUGCUGGGUAACCCCCAGCGGGAGCGAUCCCAGGGAAAGUGCCACAGAAAAUAAACCGCCUCGGGCGAAAGCCCGCGGUAAGGGUGAAACGGUGCGGUAAGAGCGCACCAGCGGAGGCGGUGACGCCUCCGGCUCGGUAAACCCCACCUGGAGAAAGACCAAAUAGGGGAGAAGAGGCGGCCCGCCUCACUCGACUCCCGGGUAGGUUGCUUGAGGCGUCCGGUAACGGGCGUCCCAGAGAAAUGGUCGCCACGGAGAAAUCCGACAGAACUCGGCUUAUGAGGCACUCCGGCAU